rfam:Acyrthosiphon pisum strain LSR1 Contig1019058, whole genome shotgun sequence.
AAAACGGCCCUUUUCAGGGCCACCAAAAUGUAUUAACCACCGUGU